rnacentral:rRNA from 1 species
UACAGAGGUCUCAAGCGUUGUUCGGAUUCAUUGGGCGUAAAGGGUGCGUAGGCGGCGCGGUAAGUCGGGUGUGAAAUCUUGGAGCUUAACUCCGAAACUGCAUUCGAUACUGCCGUGCUUGAGGACUGGAGAGGAGACUGGAAUUUACGGUGUAGCGGUGAAAUGCGUAGAUAUCGUAAGGGAAGACCAGUGGCGAAGGCGGGUCUCUGGACAGUUCCUGACGCUGAGGCACGAAGGUCAGGGGAGCAAACGGG